GGCUGGGAUACCGAACAGGACGCGGCUGCAUUCGCAAUGCAGAGGUCGGGAGUUCGAUCCUCCUUCGGUGC
rnacentral:tRNA from 1 species